UUUUUGGGCUAACUCAAAAGUCCAUCAAUUAAGUUAUUGGGCUAGACUCCCAAUCCACAUACUAAGGUUGGGCUCGGAUAAUCCUAGAUCCAAUAUUAAGUUAUCCCUCAAUUAAUAAUUCCACUCAUAUAAUAAAUUGUAUAAGUUAAGCUUAUCAUCAUAUGCAAUAAUUAUUUACAUCUCAAUGCCACACUAGGCAUAAUCUUCCAAGCUUAAACUAAGCUUCUCAAUGCACAUUGAUUUAAUACGAAUCAAUUGAUCUCAAUAAAAU
rnacentral:lncRNA from 1 species